AUUAGUAGUUUUAUACAGAGCUAUUGUUUUUCUUAAUUGUUGAAGUAAAUUUUUGGAGAGGCGUGAGGAGAAUUAGAAGGAUAGAGAUUGUUGCUAAGUUGUUUUGCUGUUGGUGAGGAUUCAAAACAGUUGUGAGAUGAUGCUGAAGUUAAUUUCCUCUUUAUUGUUUGUUUGGUUUCUCUUCUUAAUUUUUUUUUUUCCUCUCUUGACUGUUGACAGCGCUCCACUAUUCAUUCCUUCUUUAUUCUUAUUCUUUUUGGUAUGUUGCUUUAUUGAGUUCAGAAAUCAGUUAACUAUAUAGCAGAUUCUGACAUUUCAAACUUAUUCUCAGGAUGCAGCUAACUAUCGCGAUGAGCUGAGAGAAAUUCCGCCCCACUCUCUUUUGAAAUGCUCAAGUGAUGCAACAACCUUGGGAAUCAGGGUUCAAGUGAGGUGUGUGUAUAUUGAGGGCCGGAGUCAGCCUUCAAAGGGUCGCUAUUUCUUUGCAUACAGAAUACGAAUUACCAAUAACUCAGAACGCCCUGUCCAACUUCUUAGAAGACAUUGGAUUAUAACUGAUGCCCAAGGAAAAACUGAGAAU